rnacentral:rRNA from 1 species
UACGUAGGGUGCAAGCGUUGUCCGGAAUUAUUGGGCGUAAAGAGCUCGUAGGCGGUUUGUCGCGUCUGCUGUGAAAACCCGAGGCUCAACCUCGGGCCUGCAGUGGGUACGGGCAGACUAGAGUCCGGAAGAGGAGAGUGGAAUUCCUGGUGUAGCGGUGAAAUGCGCAGAUAUCAGGAAGAACACCCGUGGCUAAGGCGGCUCUCUAGUACGGUACUGACGCUGAGACGCGAAAGCGUGGGGAGCGAACAGG